CUGGAUUUAGAACAGACAAGAUUAGGAUGUGUUGAUGAGGGAUAUUUCGAAAUAUUGGCGAUAGACAACUUGGCAGAUGAAGACUGGAGAAAACCAAUAGUAGUAUACUUAUAGAAUCCCAGAACCUCUACUGUUGAAAAACCAGGUAUCGAGCAUUAAGUUAUAUUCUUUUGGGUUCAGAGUUGUUUAAGAAAUCUCCGGAAGGAAUUUUG
rnacentral:lncRNA from 1 species